ACCAAAUCUCGCCUUCUUUCUCUCGCGCAACAAUCCAUCCUUCCUUCUUUCGUGCUUCAAAAUUUUUCUCUGAUUUGCAUCAAAUCUCAAGAUGGUGGCAUUGAGAGGAGGCAUACAAUUUAUUGUUGAUGCUUUGUCUAUGAAAAACCCUAUUCUCCUACCUCACUGCAGAUUGAACAAUCCAAGAUAGAGGAUUCCUUGAAAGCACUAAUUGGCAAGAAACAACGACCAAUUUAUCAAUUGACAUUGCCUAGAGUCGGCCACAAAGAUGCAACUUAGGCUCUGAUACCAAAUUGAUAAGGCAACUCUAAUCCUCAACCCAACGAUCAAGUUUUUGUUGGAGCAAGGAAGCACUAAUUGGCAAGCAACAACGAACAAUUUAUCAAUUGACAUUGCUAAAAGGGUGGAACAUAGAAGACAUUGAUGUCGGUUCGAAUACCUUUAGGAUUGGUGUACUUGAUUUGAUCAAAAUCAAAGAUGUCACAUAUUGGGGAUAGUGAGUUUUUGUUCUAUUUAUUGUGUAUUGGGUGGGGAAGAACUGAUUUGAAAAUUGUGCUAGUGUAAUGAGUUUGAUAUUCUUAUAUAGAUCGAGUUGAAUACUUUA